CGCGUCGACGAGAUGGCCUCGCGUCUGAUUAGCUAGUUGGUGGGGUAACGGCCCACCAAGGCGACGAUCAGUAGCCGGACUGAGAGGUUGGCCGGCCACAUUGGGACUGAGACACGGCCCAGACUCCUACGGGAGGCAGCAGUGGGGAAUAUUGGGCAAUGGGCGCAAGCCUGACCCAGCAACGCCGCGUGAAGGAAGAAGGCCAUCUCGUCGACGCG
rnacentral:rRNA from 1 species